GACGAACCGUGCAACCGUUAUUCGGAAUCACUGGGCUUAAAGGGCGCGUAGGCGGGCCGCCAGGUCCGGGGUGAAAGCCUCCAGCUCAACUGGAGAAGUGCCUUGGAUACCGGCGGCCUCGAGGGGGGCAGGGGCGUGCGGAACUUCGGGUGGAGCGGUGAAAUGCGUAGAUAUCCGAAGGAACACCGGUGGCGAAAGCGGCGCGCUGGACCUCUUCUGACGCUGAGGCGCGAAAGCCAGGGGAGCAAACGGG
rnacentral:rRNA from 1 species